rnacentral:rRNA from 1 species
GAUGAACGCUGGCGGCGUGCCUAAUACAUGCAAGUCGAGCGAACAGACGAGGAGCUUGCUCCUCUGACGUUAGCGGCGGACGGGUGAGUAACACGUGGAUAACCUACCUAUAAGACUGGGAUAACUUCGGGAAACCGGAGCUAAUACCGGAUAAUAUAUUGAACCGCAUGGUUCAAUAGUGAAAGACGGUUUUGCUGUCACUUAUAGAUGGAUCCGCGCCGCAUUAGCUAGUUGGUAAGGUAACGGCUUACCAAGGCAACGAUGCGUAGCCGACCUGAGAGGGUGAUCGGCCACACUGGAACUGAGACACGGUCCAGACUCCUACGGGAGGCAGCAGUAGGGAAUCUUCCGCAAUGGGCGAAAGCUUGACGGAGCAACGCCGCGUGACUGAUGAAGGUCUUCGGAUCGUAAAACUCUGUUAUUAGGGAAGAACAAAUGUGUAAGUAACUAUGCACGUCUUGACGGUACCUAAUCAGAAAGCCACGGCUAACUACGUG